rnacentral:rRNA from 1 species
GAUGAACGCUGGCGGCGUGCCUAAUACAUGCAAGUCGAGCGAACAGACGAGGAGCUUGCUCCUCUGACGUUAGCGGCGGACGGGUGAGUCACACGUGGAUAACCUACCUAUAAGACUGGGAUAACUUCGGGAAACCGGAUCUAAUACCGGAUAAUAUAUUGAACCGCAUGGUUCAAUAGUGAAAGACGGUUUUGCUGUCACUUAUAGAUGGAUCCGCGCCGCAUUAGCUAGUUGGUAAGGUAACGGCUUACCAAGGCAACGAUGCGUAGCCGACCUGAGAGGGUGAACGGGCAAACUGGAACUGAGAAACGGUCCAGACUCCUGAGGGAAGCAGCAGUAGGGAAACUUACGCAAUGGGGGAAAGCCUGACGGAGCAAAGGCGCGUGAGUGAUGAAGGUGUUCGGAUCGGAAAACUCUGUUAUUAGGGAAGAACAAAUGUGUAAGUAACUAUGCACGUAUUGACGGUACCUAAUCAGAAAGCCACGGCUAACUACGUG